GAUGAACGCUAGCGACAGGCUUAACACAUGCAAGUCGAGGGGCAGCAACACUUUCGGGUGGUUGGCGACCGGCGCACGGGUGAGUAACACGUAUGCAACCUACCUACUACUAGAGGAUAGCCCGUUGAAAGACGGAUUAAUACUUUAUGACACAGGGGUGCCGCAUGGCAAUAUUUGUUAAAGAUUUAUUGGUAGUAGAUGGGCAUGCGCAGGAUUAGCUAGUUGGUUGAGGUAACGGCUCACCAAGGCAACGAUCCUUAGGGGUUCUGAGAGGAAGGUCCCCCACACUGGUACUGAGACACGGACCAGACUCCUACGGGAGGCAGCAGUGAGGAAUAUUGGUCAAUGGACGAGAGUCUGAACCAGCCAAGUCGCGUGAAGGAAGACGGUAUUAUGUAUUGUAAACUUCUUUUAUAGGGGAAUAAAAUGCGGCACGUGUGCUGUUUUGUAUGUACCCUAUGAAUAAGCAUCGGCUAACUCCGUGCCAGCCGCCGCGGUAA
rnacentral:rRNA from 1 species